GUAAAGACGAUGUUACUAGGGUGUGUUAUAGACGGGUAAUUUAAAUACUGAGAAUUAUAGCGUGGGUAAUUGUAUAAUUUUGCCAAAAAAGGUACAGUAAUAGUUAUUUAGUGUGUGGUGUAACAGCUGUGUGUGUACGGGAAUUCCCUGUAUGAUUUGUUGUGUGCGUUUGGCCUAGUAACUGUGCCACGUGGUGCUGUUGCCAAGGGAAAUGG
rnacentral:lncRNA from 1 species